AUUGAACGCUGGCGGCAUGCUUUACACAUGCAAGUCGAACGGUAACAGGCCUUCGGGUGCUGACGAGUGGCGAACGGGUGAGUAAUGCAUCGGAACGUACCCAGAGGUGGGGGAUAACGCAGCGAAAGCUGUGCUAAUACCGCAUGUGAUCUGAGGAUGAAAGCGGGGGACCGAGCAGCAAUGUUUGGCCUCGCGCCUUUGGAGCGGCCGAUGUCGGAUUAGCUAGUUGGUGGGGUAAAGGCCUACCAAGGCGACGAUCCGUAGCUGGUCUGAGAGGACGACCAGCCACACUGGGACUGAGACACGGCCCAGACUCCUACGGGAGGCAGCAGUGGGGAAUUUUGGACAAUGGGCGCAAGCCUGAUCCAGCAAUGCCGCGUGCGGGAAGAAGGCCUUCGGGUUGUAAACCGCUUUUGGCAGGAACGAAACGGUGUCCGCUAAUACCGGGCGCUAAUGACGGUACCUGCAGAAUAAGCACCGGCUAACUACGG
rnacentral:rRNA from 1 species